rnacentral:rRNA from 1 species
GAUUGCCCUAGUAACGGCGAGUGAAGCGGCAACAGCUCAAAUUUGAAAUCUGGCCUUCGGGUCCGAGUUGUAAUUUGUAGAGGAUGCUUUUGGCGCGGUGCCUUCCGAGUUCCCUGGAACGGGACGCCUUAGAGGGUGAGAGCCCCGUACGGUUGGACACCAAGCCUCUGUAAAGCUCCUUCGACGAGUCGAGUAGUUUGGGAAUGCUGCUCUAAGUGGGAGGUAAAUUUCUUCUAAAGCUAAAUAUUGGCCAGAGACCGAUAGCGCACAAGUAGAGUGAUCGAAAGAUGAAAAGCACUUUGAAAAGAGGGUUAAAUAGCACGUGAAAUUGUUGAAAGGGAAGCGUUUGCGACCAGACCUUUUCCUGGCGGAUCAUCCGGUGUUCUCACCGGUGCACUUCGCCAGGUUGAGGCCAGCAUCGGUUUCUGUAGGGGGAUAAAAGCCUGGGGAACGUAGCUCCCUCGGGAGUGUUAUAGCCCCUUGCAUAAUACCCCUACGGGGACCGAGGACCGCGCUUCGGCAAGGAUGCUGGCAUAAUGGUCGUCAACGACCCGUCUUGAAACACGGACCAAGGAGUCGAACAUUUGUGCGAGUGUUUGGGUGUCAAACCCUCACGCGUAAUGAAAGUGAACGGAGGUGAGAGCCCUUACGGGUGCAUCAUCGACCGAUCCUGAUGUCUUCGGAUGGAUUUGAGUAAGAGCAUAACUGUUCGGACCCGAAAGAUGGUGAACUAUGCGUGGAUAGGGUGAAGCCAGAGGAAACUCUGGUGGAGGCUCGCAGCGGUUCUGACGUGCAAAUCGAUCGUCAAAUCUGCGCAUGGGGGCGAAAGACUUAUCGAACCAUCUAGUAGCUGGUUACCGCCGAAGUUUCCCUCAGGAUAGCAGUGUUGUUCUUCAGUUUUAUGAGGUAAAGCGAAUGAUUAGGGACUCGGGGGCGCUAUAUUGCCUUCAUCCAUUCUCAAACUUUAAAUAUGUAAGAAGCCCUUGUUGCUUAGUUGAACGUGGGCAUUCGAAUGUACCAACACUAGUGGGCCAUUUUUGGUAAGCAGAACUGGCGAUGCGGGAUGAACCGAACGCGGGGUUAAGGUGCCGGAGUGGACGCUCAUCAGACACCACAAAAGGUGUUAGCACAUUUAGACAAUAGGACGGUGGCCAUGGAAGUCGGAAUCCGCUAAGGACUGUGUAACAACUCACCUAUCGAAUGUGCUAGCCCUGAAAAUGGAUGGCGCUCAAGCGUCCCACCCAUACCCCGCCCUCAGGGUAGAAACGAUGCCCUGAGGAGUAGGCGGCCGUGGGGGUCAGUGACGAAGC